rnacentral:misc_RNA from 1 species
AAAAGAAGCAUGAUGGUUUCUCCAAUUACUCAGACAUUUAGGCGCUGUCCUCCCACUAUUAGGACAUGCUGAAAGAGCAAUGGUUAGAACAGUGCAAACACCCAGAACAAUUUCUCAAUUAAAGGAUAGAGCUGCUAUACAAAGUUCAUGAAAAGGACAAUAUUUGACAAUCAAAUCAAUGUAUGCAAACAACUCAACAAUAUGA